AACGAACGCUGGCGGCAGGCUUAACACAUGCAAGUCGAGCGCCCCGCAAGGGGAGCGGCAGACGGGUGAGUAACGCGUGGGAAUCUACCCAUCUCUACGGAAUAACGCAUGGAAACGUGUGCUAAUACCGUAUACGUCCUUCGGGAGAAAGAUUUAUCGGGGAUGGAUGAGCCCGGGUUGGAUUAGCUAGUUGGUGGGGUAAGGGGCUACCAAGGCGACGAUCCAUAGCCGGUCUGAGAGGAGGAUCAGCCACACUGGGACUGAGACACGGCCCAGACUCCUACGGGAGGCAGCAGUUGGGAAUAUUGGACAAUGGGCGCAAGCCUGUUCCAGCCAUGCCGCGUGAGUGAUGAAGGCCCUAGGGUUGUAAAGCUCUUUCACCGGUGAAGAUAAUGACGGUAACCGGAGAAGAAGCCCCGGCUAACUUCGUGCCAGCCGCCGCCGUAAGAC
rnacentral:rRNA from 1 species